AGAGUUUGAUCCUGGCUCAGGACGAACGCUGGCGGCGUGCUUAACACAUGCAAGUCGAGCGGAAAGGCCCUUCGGGGUACUCGAGCGGCGAACGGGUGAGUAACACGUGAGUAAUCUGCCCUUGGCUUUGGGAUAACUACCGGAAACGGUGGCUAAUACCGGAUACGACAACCGUCUGCAUGGGCUGGUUGUGGAAAGUUUUUUCGGCCAGGGAUGUGCUCGCGGCCUAUCAGCUUGUUGGUGGGGUAAUGGCCUACCAAGGCUUCGACGGGUAGCCGGCCUGAGAGGGUGACCGGCCACACUGGGACUGAGACACGGCCCAGACUCCUACGGGAGGCAGCAGUGGGGAAUAUUGGACAAUGGGCGGAAGCCUGAUCCAGCAACGCCGCGUGAGGGAUGACGGCCUUCGGGUUGUAAACCUCUUUCAGUACCGACGAAGCGCCGAUGAUGGUGGUGACGGUAGGUACAGAAGAAGCACCGGCCAACUACGUGCCAGCAGCCGCGGUAAUACGUAGGGUGCGAGCGUUGUCCGGAAUUAUUGGGCGUAAAGGGCUCGUAGGCGGUUUGUCGCGUCGGGAGUGAAAACCCAGGGCUUAACUCUGGGCUGGCUUUCGAUACGGGCAGACUAGAGGUAUGCAGGGGAGAACGGAAUUCCUGGUGUAGCGGUGAAAUGCGCAGAUAUCAGGAGGAACACCGGUGGCGAAGGCGGUUCUCUGGGCAUUACCUGACGCUGAGGAGCGAAAGUGUGGGGAGCGAACAGGAUUAGAUACCCUAGUAGUCC
rnacentral:rRNA from 1 species